CAGUCGAGCGACAGAUGAGAAGCUUGCUUCUCUGAUGUUAGCGGCGGACGGGUGAGUAACACGUGGGUAACCUACCUAUAAGACUGGGAUAACUCCGGGAAACCGGGGCUAAUACCGGAUAAUAUAUUGAACCGCAUGGUUCAAUGUUGAAAGACGGUUUCGGCUGUCACUUAUAGAUGGACCCGCGCCGUAUUAGCUAGUUGGUAAGGUAACGGCUUACCAAGGCAACGAUACGUAGCCGACCUGAGAGGGUGAUCGGCCACACUGGAACUGAGACACGGUCCAGACUCCUACGGGAGGCAGCAGUAGGGAAUCUUCCGCAAUGGGCGAAAGCCUGACGGAGCAACGCCGCGUGAGUGAUGAAGGUCUUAGGAUCGUAAAACUCUGUUGUUAGGGAAGAACAAAUUUGUUAGUAACUGAACAAGUCUUGACGGUACCUAACCAGAAAGCCACGGCUAACUACGUGCCAGCAGCCGCGGUAAUACGUAGGUGGCAAGCGUUAUCCGGAAUUAUUGGGCGUAAAGCGCGCGUAGGCGGUUUCUUAAGUCUGAUGUGAAAGCCCACGGCUCAACCGUGGAGGGUCAUUGGAAACUGGGGGAACUUGAGUGCAGAAGAGGAGAGUGGAAUUCCAUGUGUAGCGGUGAAAUGCGCAGAGAUAUGGAGGAACACCAGUGGCGAACGCGGCUCUCUGGUCUGUAACUGACGCUGAUGUGCGAAAGCGUGGGGAUCAAACAGGAUUAGAUACCCUGGUAGUCCACGUCGUAGACGAUGA
rnacentral:rRNA from 2 species